rnacentral:rRNA from 1 species
GAUGAACGCUGGCGGCGUGCCUAACACAUGCAAGUCGAACGAUGAAACCGCCCCCGGGCGGACAUGAAGUGGCGAACGGGUGAGUAACACGUGACCGACCUGCCCCCCGCCCAGGGACAGCCCCCCGACAGGGGGAUUAAUACCUGGUACUCCGGAAGCGGCGCAUGCCGCCCCCGGGAAAGCUUUUCGCGGCGGGGGAUGGGGUCGCGGCCCAUCAGGUAGACGGCGGGGCAGAGGCCCACCGUGCCGACGACGGGUAGCCGGGUUGAGAGACCGACCGGCCACAUUGGGACUGAGAUACGGCCCAGACUCCUACGGGAGGCAGCAGUGGGGAAUUUUGCGCAAUGGGGGCAACCCUGACGCAGCAACGCCGCGUGCGGGACGAAGGCGUCCGCGUCGUAAACCGCUUUCAGCGGGGAACACUUUUCGAGGGUACCCGCAGAAGAAGCCCCGGCUAAAUACGUGCCAGCCGCCGCAGUAA